rnacentral:rRNA from 1 species
AUGGGGGCAGCUGAGCAGCGAUGCCGCGUGCGUGAUGAAGGCCUUCGGGUUGUAUACCUCUUUUGUACGGGACGAUACGGUCCUUUCUCCUUGUGAGGCUACGGACAGUUCCGUACCAAUAACCACCGGCUUACAACGUGCCAGCAGCCGCGGUAAUAC